rnacentral:rRNA from 1 species
GUAUAUCCUUCGGGUGACUACUUUAGUGGCGAACGGGUGCGUAACACGUGAGAAUCUGCCUUUAGGAAGAGGAUAACUUUUAGAGAUAAAAGCUAAUACUCUAUAUGCCAUUGGUGAAAGAAGAAAUUCGCCUAAAGAGGAGCUCGCGUCUGAUUAGCUAGUUGGUGGGGUAAGAGCCUACCAAGGCGACGAUCAGUAGCUGGUUUGAGAGGAUGAUCAGCCACAUUGGAACUGAGACACGGUCCAGACUCCUACGGGAGGCAGCAGUAAGGAAUAUUCUGCAAUGGGCGCAAGCCUGACAGAGCAAUACCGCGUGAGGGACGACUGCCUACGGGUUGUAAACCUCUUUUCUCAAGGAGGAAGAACUGACGUUACUUGAGGAAUAAGCAACGGCUAACCCUGUGCCAGCAGCCGCGGUAAUACAGGGGUUGCAAGUUUUAUUCGGAAUCAUUGGGCGUAAAGCGUCUGCAGGUUGACAUAAAAGUCUUUUGUUAAAUAUCAGAGCUCAACUCGGAAUAUGCAAAAGAUACUAUAUGUCUUGAGUAUGGUAGAGGUAGGGGGAAUUUCCAGUGGAGCGGUGAAAUGCGUAGAUAUUGGAAAGAACACCGAUAGCGAAGGCACCCUACUGGGCCAUUACUGACACUCAGAGACGAAAGCUAGGGGAGCAAACGGGAUUAGAUACCCCGGUAGUCCUAGCCGUAAACGAUGGAUACUAGAUGUUGUGUACUUUUUGUAUACAGUGUCGUAGCUAACGCG